rnacentral:rRNA from 1 species
AUGAUGAGCUUGAGGUCAUGGAGGGGAGCUAACAAUAGGAAUGCCGUUGAACAUGCCAUAAGUUGGCGAUGCUUGAACCGAAAACCGUCCAUGAUACAUGCAUGUCUCCGUAGUGUGCUAAUGUAUCAUCGUUUGUUCUUGUCGUUUUACUUUACCAUAAUAACACCUCAUUUCACGCAUCUCAUGAAUAAAUGGACUAUCCCUAGCCCAUUUUGCAUGUACUUUUUAAAUGUACAUGCAAGCCAUGUUGAAAUACAAGAGCUGGACUUGUGGAACAGAUUAUUAAAUUCUAUAUCAGCUUUUCUAGAUUUUAAGAGCAUGCGAUAUAUUUUUCUCCCGUUGUAA